UACGGAGGGUGCAAGCGUUAUCCGGAUUCACUGGGUUUAAAGGGUGCGUAGGAGGGCAGGUAAGUCAGUGGUGAAAUCCCCGAGCUUAACUUGGGAACUGCCGUUGAUACUAUCUGUCUUGAAUAUUGUGGAGGUAAGCGGAAUAUGUCAUGUAGCGGUGAAAUGCUUAGAUAUGACAUAGAACACCAAUUGCGAAGGCAGCUUGCUACAGGGAUAUUGACACUGAGGCGCGAAAGCGUGGGGAGCAAACAGG
rnacentral:rRNA from 1 species